UGGGGAAUAUUGGACAAUGGGCGCAAGCCUGAUCCAGCCAUGCCGCGUGAGUGAUGAAGGCCCUAGGGUUGUAAAGCUCUUUCACCGGUGAAGAUAAUGACGGUAACCGGAGAAGAAGCCCCGGCUAACUUCGUGCCAGCAGCCGCGGUAAUACGAAGGGGGCUAGCGUUGUUCGGAUUUACUGGGCGUACAGCGCACGUAGGCGGACUUUUAAGUCAGGGGUGAAAUCCCGGGGCUCAACCCCGGAACUGCCUUUGAUACUGGAAGUCGUGAGUAUGGUAGAGGUGAGUGGAAGUACGAGUGUAGAGGUGAAAUUCGGAGAUAUGCGGAGGAACACCAGUGGCGAAGGCGGCUCACUGGACCAUUACUGACGCUGAGGUGCGAAAGCGUGGGGAGCAAACAGG
rnacentral:rRNA from 1 species